rnacentral:rRNA from 1 species
AAGUACGCUGGCGGCUGCUAUCAACUGCAGUCAACGAGAUCUUCGGAUCUAGUGCGCGCACGGGUGAGUAACGCGUGGGAACCUACCUUUUAGUACGGGACAACGUUUGGAAACGAACGCUAAUACCGUAUACGCCCUCCGGGGGAAAGGUCAGCCGCUAAAAGAGGGGCCCGCGUCUGAUUAGCUUGUUUGGUAAGGUAAUGGCUUACCAAGGCUACGAUCAGUAGCUGGUCUGAGAGGAUGAUCAGCCACACUGGGACUGAGACACGGCCAGACUCCUACGGGAGUGCAGCAGUGGGGAAUAUUGGACAAUGGAGGCAACUCUGAUCCAGCAAUGCCGCGUGUGUGAUGAAGGCCCUAGGGUUGUAAAGCACUUUCAACGGUGAAGAUGAUGACGGUAGCCGUAGAAGAAGCCCCGGCUAACUUCGUGCCAGCAGCCGCGGUAAUACGAAGGGGGCGAGCGUUAUUCGGAAUUAUUGGGCGUAAAGGGCUCGCAGGCUGCUUGAACAGUUAGACGUGAAAUCCCCGGGCUUAACCUGGGAACUGCGUUUAAUACUAGCAAGCUUGAGAAAUAGAGAGGACAAGUGGAACUCCCAGUGUAGAGGUGAAAUUCGUAGAUAUUGGGAAGAACACCAGUGGCGAAAGCGAA